AUUCAUUUAUUCAACGACAUAUUACUAAGGAACCUCCUUAAGCCGGGAUGCUGAACGUGGAAAAAUAGGUGAAAUAUAAUUUUACCCCUGAGAAGCUCAUAGGCUAAAAAAAAUAUUGAUUUGGGAUAAAUGUAUGUUAAGUUGACUCUUGAACAAUGUGGGGGCUUGGGGCACCAACCCCCUGUGCAGUUGAAAAUCGACAUAUAACUUUGACUCGCCAAAAACUUCACUACAAUAGCCUGCUGCCAACCUGAAGUCUUACCAAUAACAUCAACAGUCAAUUAAACAUAUUACGUAUGUUAUAUGUAUUCUAUGCUGUAGUUUUACAAUAAAGUAAGCUGGAGAAAAG
ensembl:lncRNA PPP1R3B-DT PPP1R3B divergent transcript